GGGUUCUGAAACAGCCCGGGGCUUUCAGCACAGAUGAGAAGUCUAAAAAUUUCCCUUUUCAUUUCCUCUCUUGUGUGACUUUGUCAUUUUUAAAAAAACUGGUCACAGAAAAGGGAAUUUUGCCCAUGCUUUUAAGGAGUUUAUCUCGACUGAGUAGCUUCCCCGCCACUCCUCUAAAAUCCCUCCUCAAAAACCCCAAGUUAAAAAAAAAAAAGAUCUAUUCUUGUAGAUUUUUUUUGUGUGGGUCUAUGUUUCAUUCAUCUGCUUUCAGGCUGGAUUUAUAACAAGCAGAACUUUUAAAACGGUAUGAUUUUAAAAUAAAAUUAAAAAAAAAACACGCUGAGAUCUUUCCAUAGCUUUGGCUUCUGGGAGUUGAAAGCGCAGGAGGAAAAUAGAGCAAAAAGGUAGAACUUACUUCCACACCCAAGUUUCUCCUGAAAGCACUGUGCCUGUUUUGUUUGCUACACAUCUUGGCUUCAGGAAAAAGAGGACCUUAGAACUGAAGGAGCAAGAUUCCAACAUCACACUGUUUUUGUUAGCUGUGUGUGUGUGUUUCCUGUGUAUCCAAAAGACAGAGGAGAUGAAAAAGCAAAAGAAAAGAAACGAGGAAUCAGAUUGGAAAGAGUAUGAGUUUGUACUUAUGAAAUAAAACUUUUAUCUCUCUACA
rnacentral:lncRNA from 1 species